rnacentral:rRNA from 1 species
GCUACGGGUGGCAGCAGUGGGGAAUAUUGGGCAAUGGGCGCAAGCCUGACCCAGCAACGCCGCGUGAAGGAAGAAGGCUUUCGGGUUGUAAACUUCUUUUAAGAGGGAAGAGCAGAAGACGGUACCUCUUUAAUAAGCCACGGCUAACUACGUGCCAGCAGCCGCGGUAAUACGUAGGGGGCAAGCGUUAUCCGGAUUUACUGGGUGUAAAGGGAGCGUAGACGGUUAUGCAAGUCUGAAGUGAAAGCCCAAGGCUCAACCAUGGGACUGCUUUGGAAACUGUAAAACUGGAGUGCAGGAGAGGUAAGCGGAAUUCCUAGUGUAGCGGUGAAAUGCGUAGAUAUUAGGAGGAACACCAGUGGCGAAGGCGGCUUACUGGACUGUAACUGACGUUGAGGCUCGAAGGCGUGGGGAGCAAACAGGAUUAGAUACCCCAGUAGUC